rnacentral:rRNA from 1 species
UGAGUAACCUGCCCUUCACUCUGGGAUAACUCCGGGAAACCGGGGCUAAUACUGGAUACGACUCGAACAGGCAUCUGUAUCGGGUGGAAAGAUUUAUUGGUGGAGGAUGGACUCGCGGCCUAUCAGCUUGUUGGUGAGGUAAUGGCUCACCAAGGCAACGAUGCGUAGCCGACCUGAGAGGGUGAUCGGCCACAUUGGAACUGAGACACGGUCCAGACUCCGUACGGGAGCA